CCACUUUACAACCCUAAAAUCAGAUGACAUUUAAGUUUGACAUCAGUCGUGCAUGACGUGACAAAAAGAAAAAUAAAGUACCAACACAAAACGAAACUCGCGAGAAAAAUUCAAAAACAAUUUCUUCAAAUCUUCAACAAUGAAUUUCAAGCUGUGCGUAUUUCUAUUUACGUUGCUGACAGUAACAAAUGUCGAAGCAGCACAGGGUUACGAUUUCGGCGACUUCUUGGCGACAAUUUUAGGACUUGGAAUUGCUGGUAUAGGGAUUCUUGCAUGUUUAGGCAAAUAUGCGAGACAACAAGCAAGAAAUGAGUUCAUUUAAACUACCGACCUGCAAGCACUGAAAAUGGGAAUAUGUGAUGAAAUAACUUGUAACAAAAUAAAUAAAAACCAAACUGUUCAAACAAUAAAUCAUAUACGUUUUGCGCAUCACUAAUUUGUAUGAAUGGUUAUGAAUUGUAGAGGGAAGUGUAUUUCUAAUCAUUACCAUCAUUAUCAUUAUAAGGCUAUCCAAAUAUGUAGCAAAUGUAGAAUGUAAGUAUAUUUUUUGUAUGAGAGGAGCUAUUUUCAAACAAAAUAUACAUGCCAGCUUAGACUAAGGAGUAUUUUAUCAUGUAUCAUUAUAGUUCUUAGAAAACCUUUCAAUAUAAUAUCUUGAACUUGUUAUGUAAAUUACCUUUCAUUAGCUCUAUAGUACAUGAAUGGUAAUUACACACAAGUCCCUUAUGUUUUGUCUGAAAAUAGACAAAGCCUUACCAUCAAGACAAUGUGAUAUUUCUUCUAUUAUUAGAGAUGUCUCCGAGAUUGGUUAGGCUGUAUUUUUUAUCUUUAUUUUUGUAAAAUUUAAUCUCGAAUUCAGAAUUUCAAUUUAUUAAAUAUUUGUUUUUGAUUUUCAAUA